ACCGAAUCACGGGUAUUCCAAAUCUGUUUAAAAAAUGUACAGCCAGGACUGGACGCCCGUUAAAGCUGACCAAUACUAAAGGAGUCGGCGGUACAUCCCCCCAAGUGCUUCGCCGAUAAAGGCCGCCAGGGACUGUGUGCCUUUGUUUUACUCCUAAUGGUCUUAACCCGGAUUCCCCCAGAGCCCGG
rnacentral:sRNA from 1 species